CCGUAGUAAAAAUAAUUAACUAAAAAUGUAAAAAUUAAGAAAGAAAGAUAAUAAUAAGCCCAUAAUCAAAUGUAUUAAAAAUGAAUAAGUAGAAAGAAACGCAUCUCUCUGGCUCUCUCCGCCUCUCUCUCUCUCUCACGAUCUCCGCCUCUCUCCGCCUCUCUCUCUCUCUCACGAUCUGACUCUCUCGUUGCGCUCGCCGCCGGUCUCACCGCCGCCGCCCGGGCCGCCCCGACCCGCCUCCUCCGUCAGCAGCGCUGCAAGUCUGCAGCAGUCAACCUCUCCAGCUGCACCAGUCACGCAGACAGCAGUGCGCUUCUUCGGCCUUCACAGCAGCAGCCAGCAGGUAAGUCAUUUAGGGGUUUUCCUUCUCCUUCUCCUGCAUCCACUCCAUCGGAAUUAUUAGAAGCUGUGAUCCUCGAAUUAUAUUGUAUUUGUCUGCUUUUUAAACCGUAAUAUUGGAAGAUGUGUUUGUUUCUAAUUUUUUGACUUGGAGUGACUUCAGCUAAGAUAUUAUGUUGAAAAUUUAGGUUUUUAAUGGUAUGUUCAAGAGUUUC
rnacentral:lncRNA from 1 species